GACUACCAACUAAAGGUGUAACAACAAGCCUCCUGACUGCUGCUUCUCCUCCUCCUCCCUCCCCUCUAUUUAUCCAUGAACCCCCAAACCUGCCCUCAACUUAUACAUACAUGAGGUCAAUUUAUAUAUGUCUGUACAAAAACAAGCAUCCUGACUGCUGCUUCUCCUCCUCCUUUCUCCCCCUCUGUUUAUCCAUGGGCCCCAAACUUGCCCUCGACUUAUACGUACAUGAGGUUGAUUUAUACAUGAAUAUACAACAACAAGCCUCCUCUGCUGCUUCUCCUCCUCCUCUCCCCCCUCUAUUUAUCCAUGGGCCCCCAAACCUGCCCUCGACUUAUACAUACAUGAGGUAAAUUUAUACAUUAAUAUACAAUAACAAGCCUCCUGACUGCUGCUUCUCCUCCUCCUCUCUCCCCCUCUAUCUAUCCAUGGGGCCCCAAACCUGCCCUCAACUUAUACGUACAUGAGGUCAAUUUAUACAUGAAUAUACAACAACAAGCCUCCUGACUGCUGCUUCUCCUCCUCCUCCCUCUCCCUCUGUUUAUCCAUGGGCCCCCAAACCUGCCCUCGACUUAUACAUACAUGAGGUAGAUUUAUACAUUAAUAUACAACAACAAGCCUCCUGACUGCUGCUUCUCCUCCUCCUCACUCCCCCUCUGUUUAUCCAUUGGCCCCCAAACCUGCCCUCGACUUGAAAUCGAUUUAUACAUGAGUAUAUACUUCUUCCUCUUGCUUUCUUUUUGGCACCAAACUUAUUUGAAAAGCUAGCAACAUAUCUCCUAAUUGAGGAAGGCUAGAAAUGAGUUAUCUUCCUCAUCAGGGAGGAGGGGCAAUAGUUCUGUUCACAUCCCAUUAUAAGCAACAAAACACGCUGGAUAUCAAAGGGAAAUUUAUGUAAUGUAUUCCUGCAUUGUUGAGGGCGCACCAUCAUGUUUUAUGCAAGUGGAAGCAGCAAGGAGCUUUUCACCCUCUCUACUUUAAUAGGAAGCAAAGCAACAAUAAAACAACAAAUGGGGAAACUGGCAGAGGAUAAACCCUUUAUGGGGAGCUGGACUGCAGCGCUUGUUAAGGGAGGCCAACAUCGACAGAGCAGUUUUGAAGCAGAAAAAGCAAAACGGAGUUUGAACAGCAAUUAAUUUACCAUUUGGAAAUCCCUUCUCAAGCCUGGGGUUGUGCCGGAAACCUUCUGAUCUAUAAUGCUACCUCUGUAUCAGCUGGACUUUUACACGUGGCUGACAAAUUCCUCUUUCUUUAUAUACUUUCUAAGUCUUACAGGUGAUUUUAUGGUAUGCUUUCACUAGAUGUUGACUGUGGAUCAUGAUGGAGGACCUAGUGAUAUUUAAUGGUCCUCUCUAGGCAUUUCCUAGGUCCUCCAGCAUGACUCUAUGGUAAGCUUCCACUGGAAGUUGUGUGUCCAUUUACCAUGGUUUUUUGGCAGAGCUCUUUCCCAGCAUUCUUCCAUAUCUUCUUGCGUAGCACUGUGCUGAAAGAUUUCUUGGUGUCUAAACUCCGGUGGCUCAGUGUGUUAAAGCGCUGAGCUGCUGAACUUGCUGACCGAACGGUCCCAGGUUCAAAUCCGGGGAGCGGAGUGAGCGCCUGCUGUUAAGCUCCAGCUUCUGCCAACCUAGCAGUUCGAAAACAUACAAAUGUGAGUAGAUCAAUAGGUACCGCUCCAGUGGGAAUGUAACGGCAUUCCAUGCAGUCAUGCCAGCCACAUGACCUUGGAGGUAUCUACGGACAAUGCUGGCUCUUUGGCUUAGAAAUGGAGAUGAGCACCAAUUCCCAGAGUCGGACACGACUGUACUUAAUGUCAGGGAAAACCUUUACCUUUACCUAAACUAUCAGAAAUAAUCAGACAGAUGUUAUGGUUGAGCCUCAUGGCUCUGCUACUGGGAGACGUGGGCGUAAGACUCCUCGAGAGUCAGAUACUCUCGAGGAGCGAGAAAGAAAGCGGCUGCGAGAUAUCUUUGCAGAACCAUCUGACGAGGAUUAUUUUGAAGGGUUUACUGAGAGAAUGGAGGAAGAGAUGGUUAGCUCGGAAGAGGAUGACAUGGAAUGGACUCGUGUAAGGGAGGAUUUGGGUGCCACUGGCAAUAAUAGUAUGGAAGGCGAUUGGGGACCUUCAGGAUUAGAUCCAUGGGCAAGCUGGAGGGAUGGGACGGGAUCCACAGCUGGGGAUGCUGUGGGGCGUAGUCAGAGGUGUUCCAGUUCUGAUGAGGAAAGUGAUGAGGAAACGCCCGGGCUAAGGAGGGCAGCUGAUAGUGAUGAGGACUUGUAACUGGCAUAAAAUGGGGUUUGGGAGCAAUAGCAAAUUGCGUUGGGCAAGGUAAUCUGGACGAACGCUUGGGAUCUGUGUGGGAAGUUUUCCUGAAGACGGGUGUGAUUCGUUUGCUGACUACCUUUGACCUUCCGUCGUCUUCUUGACGGACGCCAUCUGCUUGUACUGGACAUACGGACUGCUUGACUACGGCUUCGGAUACUCCUACCUGUAUUGGACCUGGUGAACUACAAACGUCUGCAUCUACCUUACGACCUUCGGAACGGAUUGGGACCUCACUGACUGCUUAAGCCCUCGUCUGCUGUGUUUGUAUUGGGAAUCUGCCUGCUGUGUGGAGGAGUAACCUUUAAAGUUACUCAAAACAUAGUUUUGGCAGCAGAGAAGCAUCUGCUGCCAAUUAGUUGCAUUCCUUUGAACUCUUUGUUCACCAGCUUCUGUUUUGUUUAUUCCCAGGCUGAAGCAAGCUGUUUUGAUUUUACCCGGAUUAAACUCCGGUUUAAUCCGGUUUAUCUUUUGAACGUUUUUCUUGCCUCCUUUUACUUUUAAGGCCAGUGUUUGCCUAGCCCUUGUCUUUUACGGGCAUUUUGAGUGCUGUAACUCCAAUAAACUCUGUUAUCUUUUA